GGAGAGAGAGAAGCAGGGGGCCCCACGUGGGACUCGAUCCAGCUUCUGAAACUGAAAUGGAACAGAAGAUGAAGAUCUUCCCAGAAGGAGGGCGUUUUGACCCCACGACCUUUUUGUCCUCUGUUUUCUUCCCAGUCACCCGAACAGUUUAAGGUUUCCCCCAUUGCACGCGCAUGCACACACACACACGCACACGCACAGAGGGUGCUGGAGGAAGGCUCCUCUCCCAGGAGUCCCCCUGCGUCCCCAUGACAUCCCCAGAAGGGUAGGAGGGACCACACACCCCACAGGAUCUGACGGCUUCAGACACUGACUCAGCAUCGCACAAGAAAGAGGUGGGAUGUGCAUCCCCAACCCAGAGCCAGCUCCCUGCCUCCUGCAUGUCACCUGGGCUCCCCUCCGGCUCCGAGACCCUCUCUGCAGAGCUUCAGUCCAACAACAUCCAACACCAUUGAUCCUGCCGGCUGUGUGCCAGGCCUCCACGGCGUCCUCCCGCCCCGUGCCAUCUGAUGACAUCUGUACGUCUCCCUGGGGGUCCUGCAGCUGGUCGUUUAACGUCCAUGCUGCGGGCCCAGCCAGACACGGUCUCAGAGGGAUCCUAAUAUAGCUCCCGGUUAGUAGAUGCCAAUGUUUCAGGAAAAGUGCAUGAAAUUGAAACUUAAGACCAAGAAAACUCUAACCGCCAGAGCUGGAAGGCUCUUGGGUCUCUGCUUUCUGGGAGCCAUCCCUGUGACACACAGUAGGUUCUGGAAGAAAGCCCGCUGACCCAGCGAAUGAGCGAGGGAACGGAAACCCCGAAGGCAGGUCGUGCGUUACUGGAAUUCGUGGUGCUGCUCGGGCCAAGGC